CACAGUGCAGCUAGAAUGUCCCCUGCUGCUGUGUGUGGCUGUUGUGGUUCUCUCUUCAUUAUGCACCUGUGAGGAAAGUGGGGCUCUGCCUUCUCCAUAGCCCACUUCAGAAAUGGAUAUCUAGAAUUAGAUUUACUCACUCUGUAUUUGCCGUUUUGUCUCCCGAUAAGCAACCCUAAGGCUCUCAGCUUUUUGCUGUAUAUCAUAUCCUCCAGCUCCCUACCUCUGUGAUCUUCCCCUGGAAUCACUCUGGAUAAUCAACAUCUCCCAUAUCCUGAUUGGCCCAAAACACAGAUGGGCAUCUUCUACUGUUGAACAAAAGGAAAGAAGCAUUUAUUGUAGGUUAUUUCACAACCCCUUUUGCAAAUUGCUGGCAGUUGUGCUUGUCAUUUCCUGUGUGUCAAGCUGCAUCAGCACAGCGUUUUUGUAGCCACUGUAUUAAAUUUGGCAUCCCACACUGAAAACUGAAGAGUGAAAUUCUCAGCUGGUUGUUUCCUGACUUUCAUGUUCUUCUUUCUCAUCAAGUGUAAUAUAAUUUGUAUGGAUGAAAAAUUACAGUUGUGUCCACACAUUUUAGUCAACAACAGAUCACUCACUCUUUGCCAGGGUACUUUCUGAGAGGCUUCAAACAAUGCAAUGCUGGUAAAUAGGUAAGCACCUUGUUGCACACUUUCUCCUCAUCAUCUACCUGCUGUAGCUCUGCAGAGGCCUACUGAGCACAGGGAACAGGUAGACCUCCCGAAGACAGGGGCAGUGUGUAUCUUCUAGAGUGAGUGUGAAUUCCUUGGUGUGUUUUUGUGUGAGCACAGAAGGAGAUAGGUGAUUGGACAGCAGUUUGUCCCUCAGAGUGAGGCUGUCAGCAUCUUGAGCAAAUCAUAGACCAGUUAUGGUCACAGACUAGGACAUUGUCAGAGCUUUUUGAUUUGCACUGCUUAAAAAUGAUGUACCACUUAGAGAGGCCUCUGAGUGGCAUAAAUCAGCUGUGAGAUGAGGGAGACAGGCUUUGAAGAUGCCAUUUAAAUGAAUCUUGCUGUUCCAAAACCAAGAGAAAAAACCUAUUUGUUUUGGUCUUCAUCUUGAUGAAGUUCAGUUUAAUCUUCAUAUUAAAUAUGAAGAUUAUCUUCAUAUGAGCUCCUGAGCCACGUCAUUUUGUCUAAGACUGUUUUGUGCUUUAUAAAAGACUGUGCACUGAAACCCUUGCUCCUGAUUGCUGACUGGUAUUUGUCAACACCUCCAGUCAUGGACAAGCCACAGCUACCUAAAGCCACUCCUUCAGAGCCUCUUUCUCACUGGCAUCAACAUGUUUUUAGAGUAUUUUUUGUGAAUGCUCCUUGUUUAUGUAGCAAUAUUAUCUAACUUAUGCUAUAAUUUUUAUGUAAGGAGGAAAUGCGUGGUGGGUUUUGGUUUGUUGGAGUUUUGUUGUGGGAGUUUUGGUUUUUGUUUUUCUUGUAAUUUUAUUCUGGUGCAGCUGGGUGUAACAGCUAAAACAGUAUUCAUAUCUAGUACACAUGGUCAGUAAUGUUCUGAGUGGUCCAGGAAUUUGCCAGCUAAACUCUGAAGAGAUGAGACAAUGAAUUGACUUGAGAAAUGUGAUUGAACCUCUAGCUGAUCUCACAACAAACAAUUUGACUGUGACAGGAGAUACCUUAAAGAUAGACUUCUAUGAAGUGCAAGAGACUUUUCAGGCAGCUCUUGCUGUGCCUACAGCAACUGAGAAACAUUUUUUAUCUGCUUAAAUGUGUUGAUUUGAAGAGGAAAAUGCCUGAGGCAUGGUGGUGGUGUCUGAUACAAAUGGGCUUUCCAGAACAGACAAGAUGUAGAUACCUUAUAGGAAGUGGAAACUACUCCUGCAAAUAUAGAAAUGGUCAUGUAUUCUUUUGUACCUAGAUGAGAUGAUCAGGACAUAUUUUGGAUCCAGCUUAGAAAAUUUGAGACUGUAGUUCAAAAUAAACUGUCAAGCAUUUGGAUAUCCAGGUGAUGAUUUUGUGCAGGUCCCAUCUCAGCAAGACUGUGCUGUGCUCUCAUGUUCACUGGAGUUAACUUGUCAGAGGGAGCCAGAUAUGCAGAAAGAGCCUGUCCGUAGCCACUGCUCCACAGCCUGAAGGAAGUAGAGACUUUUCUCUGAGGAACAAAUUGGUUGAGAUUUGUUGAUCAGUAAAUUCCUGCUAGAAACAUUCCACGAUUUCUGUUGUCUUUCACCUUAUUUUAGGCAGCCAACAUUUCAGUCCAAAUGGUAUCUGCAGAAGACAAGUUGGCAAAGAGGAUUCUGGCAAGGAAAAAGCAUGACAAAUUGAAGAAAAAAGAUAAGUUGCUAUGGAAUUUUCAAAACAAAAUAAUUCUCUUUACUCUCAUUCUAUUCAUUUUAGGAGUUGUAACAUGGACAUUACUGUGGCUGUUUAUUGUUCAGGCAGAAAACAAAGAUGCAUUGUAUUUUGUUGGACUGUUUCGUGUUGCCAAUAUAGAGUUUCGUCCAGAAUAUAGGCAGAAAGAAUCCAAGGAAUUCCUCUCUAUGGCACAGACUGUACAGCAUGUGAUGAACUUGGUUUACACAACUUCUUCUUUCUCCAAAUUUUACAAACAGUCCACUGUCUCAGAAGUCAGUAACAACAACAAUGGAGGCCUUCUUAUUCAUUUCUGGAUCGUAUUUGUGGUACCACAGGCGAAGGGGCAAGUGCUGUGUGAGGAUUGUGUGGCUGCCAUUUUAAAGGAUUCCAUUCAGACAAGUAUCAUCAACCGGACUUCGGUGGGAAGUCUUCAGGGCCUUGCAGUCGACAUGGAUUCCAUUGUCCUAAGUGCAGGUCUUCGGUCAGAUUAUUGGUCAACAACAGGAACAGGAACAAAUUGCAUGUAUGAUCUCUAUGCUGACCAACUACAUGAGCACUUUCCUCUGGAUACCCAAGCUACCUCAGAGGGAACAAUCUGCUAUUUUAAGCUUAUUGCCUCUGUGGGCCACCUUGUCCGUCUUUCCAUAGUAUCCCUUCAGAUUGAAGCAGAUAACUGCAUCACUGACUCACUCACCAUUUAUGAUUCUCUGAUGCCAAUCAAAGAUAAGGUACUCUACCGAGCCUGUGAACCAGCUGAUUCAUUGGUGUCACUUGUGUCCACAAAUAAUCUCAUGCUGGUAAUAUUUAAGGCAGCACAAGUAAAGGAGCAAAAGGAAUUCCAUGGCUAUUUUGAGGUCAUUACACAAGAAAGGUGUGGGAGAACAAUAGUGACAAAAGAGGAAACAGGCUAUGAAGGGAGAAUCACAAGUCCAUAUUACCCAAGCUAUUAUCCUCCAAAAUGCUUGUGUGCAUGGAACUUCCAGGAAAAGGAAGACUGCUUGCACUAUCUUUCUUGCUCACAACAGACCCCAUUGAAGAGCCUUGGUAUAGCUCUGAAAUUCCAUAACUAUACCAUUAGUGAGAAGAAUAUUAAAGGCUGUGAGCGAGGAUGGUGGAAAAUUAAUGAACACAUGUACUGUGGUUACUAUGUUGAUCACCAAACAGUGUUCCACGUCACAAGUUCUGCUGUCAGCGUGGAGUUGCAGUGCAGUUCGAAGGUCUCUGAGAGGCCCCUGCUGGUGGAAUAUGGCAGUUACAACAUCGGCCAGCCAUGUCCACCUGGACAUUUCAAGUGUUCUACUGGCUUAUGCAUUCAGCAGAUGCAGCGCUGUGAUGGCAUAAACAACUGCUUUGAUGAAAGUGAUGAACUAUCUUGUGUUGUCCCUGAGUGGAACUGUAACUCCAGCUUUGCAAUACAGGACAACUUGCUUGCCUGCAAUGGAGUAAGUGAUUGUGAGAAUGGAAAAGAUGAGCAGAACUGCACCCACAGUAUUCCCUGCACCAACCACACAUUCAAGUGCAGGAAUAAUAUUUGCAUUAGGAAACAAUAUGCAAGGUGUGAUGGGACUGUGGACUGUGUUGACGGAAGUGAUGAAAGCAGCUGCAGUUGUGGCAAUAGCAAGAUCAGCAACCUCAUCCCUCGGAUUGUGGGUGGCUCAAACACUGAGGAAGGUGAAUGGCCCUGGCAGGUCAGCCUUCAUUUUGUGGGAGCUGCUUACUGUGGAGCAUCAGUGAUAUCGAAAGAAUGGCUUGUGUCUGCAGCCCACUGCUUUCAAGGGAGCAAGCUGGCUGACCCCAGAGCAUGGCGUGCCCACCUGGGCAUGCAGAUGCAGGGCCAUGCCAAGUUUGUGUCUGCGGUGCGGCGGAUUGUAGUGCAUGAGUACUACAACAGCAGGAACUAUGACUACGACAUUGCGCUGCUGCAGCUGAGUACGCCCUGGCCGGACACCAUGGGCCACCUCAUCCAGCCCAUCUGCCUACCUCCCUAUUCCCACAAAGCCCGCAGCGGGGACAAGUGCUGGAUAACAGGUUGGGGCCAAAAGCAGGAAGCAGAUGAUGAAGGUUCAGCAGUUCUUCAGAAAGCAGAGAUAGAAAUUAUUGACCAGACAUUAUGUCAUUCCACAUACGGGAUUAUCACAGCUAGGAUGUUUUGUGCUGGGCUAUCAUCUGGGAAAAGAGACGGGUGUAAAAUGGUGUGGGCCUGGGGCCUGGACUCCUUUGGUUGUGUGUUUAACUUCAUCAAGUAAUGUGAUCUUGCUUACCUUCUCACUGGACCAAUGAGGAGAAAGCAACAUAUUAAAAGCUCACUUUCAAGCUGUUCCUAAAAUCAUAUGUGGUGGUCAAUAUAUUUCCUGGAAUGGGACACUGACUUCUCCUUAUUAUCCAAGUUACUACCCACCAAAUAUUGACUGCACCUGGAUCAUCAAGAGGAGUGAAGACACGGGUCGGGUCCUGAAGCAGCCAGGACAGCAGAAAAGCGCAGAGAAAAAAAAAACGGAUAAAAAAGAAGCUGAGACGCGCCGUGCUCUGGGUGUCAUAUAGACGAGCCUGGCCGAUAUUGCUGCUGGACCAUGAAGAGCUGCAAUCAGCGCUGACGAUUUAGCCCACCAAAGUUGCUCCCCUUAUGCAUACAAAUGCUUCAAUGGAACAUGCUUGCUGAAACGAAAUCCUGAGUGUGAUGGGAAAAGAGACUGUGAGAUGGAUCACAUUGUGGUGUGGUCAUCUUGCCAAAACACUGCAGGAAGCUCAAGUGGGAAUGAUUAACCAAAGUGUUUGCAACAAGCUCUAUGAUGAUCUUACUACUUCACGUAUGCUGUGUGCUGGGAACCUUAACGGUGGUGUUCAUGCAUGCCAGUAAUAUGGAACUGGUAGGAAAACUACAAAGGAAUGUUUGCUUUCUUUGGAAAACUCUUCAGUUUUAGGUUGUUUGUGUGGUGAGUGUUUUUUUGGGUUUUUGUUGUUGUUCUUUGUGUUUUGGUUUUUGGUUUUUCUUUUCUAUUGAGUGGGAAUUUAUGGUUAAUUUAACAUGGCAACUAAAAGCCCUCCAAAAUAAGGAAGAAAAUUCUUAAUGGAUAAUCUCUGACUCUCUAGAGAAAUAUCAUUUUGCAAAUGCAAGGGGUAAAAUAUAUCAAGAAGAGUUCUUUUUCUUCUUCAACAGUUAUAUUUCAUACCAGAGAACAAAAAUAUAAAGAUAAAAGGAAUCGUCUGCACUAAAAGGUUCACCUGUGAAUUGCGCUAUUUGUAUUAAUUUCUUUUUAUCUUUUUAAUAUCUGGAUGUGGAAUUGCUAAAAUACUGUAAAAGUAUGAGUAAUUUAUUGUUACAGUUAAAAAGAAAUACAAAAGGAAAAGCUAAGCUAAGUUUUGGAACUGCAGCUGCAAUGGUGCUUUUUAAUUUCAAACAUUCAUUCAUGUGUAUAAUUACAAGUUGUGACUACAUCACAGUAGUGUAAGUUAUAAACCCCAGCUUGUUUACACACACAACCAGAAACUGCUUUUUGGUUAUACUACCCUGUCCUGACUCUGCCUUCUUUCUCCUAGUACACUAGUUCUGUACUUCAUUGGUGUUUAAAUUUCUGAUGAUGAGUAUCAACUUUACAAACAUGUUUUUUAUACCAGUUAGCAUGCAAAAGGGAUAGAAAUUUGUUACUGAAUAUUAGGCUGAGGCAAUUUGGUACAAAUUUUGUGUAAUAUAUAAAUUUUAUUAUUUUAAUGCAAUAGGAUAACUUUUGCAAGAUUGUAGCUCAUGAUGGGUGAAACUUAUUUAACACGAUAGACUAUUUGUAGAAUUUUCUUAUAGUGUCAAAGACGUAAUUAAAUUAAUUAUUAUUUUUAUUAACAUUACGUAGAGUUUAUCUGCAAACUUUGACCUUGGAAUUAUUUUGCUAAAAUAUGUCAGAGGGGUGGUAUUCCUCCAAAAAAUGUGUUGCUUAAGAAAUGCCCUUGAAUUUUCAGAUGGGCAUUUUUAACCUAUUCAGCUGUAGACAUUUUCCAUCAUGAUAUGCUAUGUCUGAGUUUUAGCAUGUUGGUCUGAGGUCUAGCAUGUGGGCCCUCUGGGUCUUUAAGUUCUUAGUCUGGGUAGCAUCUUUACUUUUUUUGGGGGUUGGUUUUUUCUUUUUUUCCCUUUCUUUCUGUCACUAGUAUAUAUAUUAUAUAUACUUUCUGUCACAGUAUAUUAUAUCACUGUAAUAUAUAGUAUGUUUCCUGUACAGUGCUAGAGAGGAAUGACACUGGGAACUCAGGAAAGUCCCAUAACACCCUAAACCUGCUUUACUAUGCUUUCAGACUUGUGCGGGCCUUGUUCUGUUUUACUCCUUCCUGGACAUGUAAGCUGUGCAUAUGUUGCACAAGUUAUGUGAAGCUUCCAAAUACCUUUCAUCUUUAGAGUACCUGAUACACAAGAAAUAAAAAAAUCACCCUUUCA